rnacentral:rRNA from 1 species
AACGCUAGCUACAGGCUUAACACAUGCAAGUCGAGGGGCAGCAUGAUUGAAGCUUGCUUCAAUUGAUGGCGACCGGCGCACGGGUGAGUAACGCGUAUCCAACCUUCCGUACACUCAGGAAUAGCCUUUCGAAAGAAAGAUUAAUACCUGAUGGUAUGAUGAGAUUGCAUGAAAUCAUCAUUAAAGAUUCAUCGGUGUACGAUGGGGAUGCGUUCCAUUAGAUAGUAGGCGGGGUAACGGCCCACCUAGUCGACGAUGGAUAGGGGUUCUGAGAGGAAGGUCCCCACAUUGGAACUGAGACACGGUCCAAACUCCUACGGGAGGCAGCAGUGAGGAAUAUUGGUCAAUGGGCGCGAGCCUGAACCAGCCAAGUAGCGUGAAGGAUGAAGGUCCUACGGAUUGUAAACUUCUUUUAUAAGGGAAUAAAGUCACAUACGUGUAGGUGUUUGUAUGUACCUUAUGAAUAAGCAUCGGCUAACUCCGUGCCAGCAGCCGCGGUAAUACGGAGGAUGCGAGCGUUAUCCGGAUUUAUUGGGUUUAAAGGGAGCGUAGACGGGUCGUUAAGUCAGCUGUGAAAGUUUGAGGCUCAACCUUAAAAUUGCAGUUGAUACUGGCGUCCUUGAGUACGGUUGAGGCAGGCGGAAUUCGUGGUGUAGCGGUGAAAUGCUUAGAUAUCACGAAGAACUCCGAUUG